rnacentral:lncRNA from 1 species
GUGGUCCGAGAGACAUGAGACGGCGAUAUCUUGAUGCAAUGGCGCUCGUUCAGAAAUAUGGUAAAGCUGAUAUUUUUCUUACCAUGACCUACAAUCCAGCAUGGCAAGAAAUUCAGGACAAUCUAAAGUAUCAUGAGAAGCCAUAGGAUAGACCAGAUCUUCUAGCCAGAGUUUUUAGAGCUAAAUUUGAGCUGCUUAAAUCUGAAAUUUUGAAUAAGCAAAUUUUUGGUGAGGUCGCAGCAUGUGUCUAUGUUAUUGAGUUUCAAAAGCGUGAAUUUUCCCAUGCUCAUUUACUCCUGAUCUUAAAACCUCAGUCCAAGCUACUUAAUCCAGAAUCAUAUGAUAAGGUAGUGUGUGCGAAAUUACCUGAUCGUGCUUGCUACCCUCACUUAUACAAUCUUGUUGUCAAGCAUAUGAUCCAUGGUCCUUGCGGAGAUAUGGAUAAAACUUGUCCUUGUAUGAAAGACAGUGCCUGCAAAAGUCAUUAUCCCAAAGAUUUUUGUCUGCAUACAACUCAUGUUAAGAAUGGUUACCCACAUUAUAGAAGAAGGGAUGAUGGCAGAAAAAUAAAGGCCUGAAGGUUUACUCUCGACGACAGGUGGGCUGUGCC